rnacentral:rRNA from 1 species
GAGCGGAAGAAGGGAGCUUGCUCCCGGAUGUUAGCGGCGGACGGGUGAGUAACACGUGGGUAACCUGCCUGUAAGACUGGGAUAACUCCGGGAAACCGGAGCUAAUACCGGAUAGUUCCUUGAACCGCAUGGUUCAAGGAUGAAAGACGGUUUCGGCUGUCACUUACAGAUGGACCCGCGGCGCAUUAGCUAGUUGGUGAGGUAACGGCUCACCAAGGCGACGAUGCGUAGCCGACCUGAGAGGGUGAUCGGCCACACUGGGACUGAGACACGGCCCAGACUCCUACGGGAGGCAGCAGUAGGGAAUCUUCCGCAAUGGACGAAAGUCUGACGGAGCAACGCCGCGUGAGUGAUGAAGGUUUUCGGAUCGUAAAGCUCUGUUGUUAGGGAAGAACAAGUGCAAGAGUAACUGCUUGCACCUUGACGGUACCUAACCAGAAAGCCACGGCUAACUACGUGCCAGCAGCCGCGGUAAUACGUAGGUGGCAAGCGUUGUCCGGAAUUAUUGGGCGUAAAGGGCUCGCAGGCGGUUUCUUAAGUCUGAUGUGAAAGCCCCCGGCUCAACCGGGGAGGGUCAUUGGAAACUGGGAAACUUGAGUGCAGAAGAGGAGAGUGGAAUUCCACGUGUAGCGGUGAAAUGCGUAGAGAUGUGGAGGAACACCAGUGGCGAAGGCGACUCUCUGGUCUGUAACUGACGCUGAGGAGCGAAAGCGUGGGGAGCGAACAGGAUUAGAUACCCUGGUAGUCCACGC